rnacentral:misc_RNA from 1 species
CAAUGAAGAAGGAUAUUGAAAUCCCAUCACGUCAAGGAUACCCUAGCAACGGGCAGAGCUUCGUGGGCGUUAAAACCAUGCCAACUUCACCUCUCGUCCAGAUUAUGAAAUACAAUUAUGCAAGGCUAGGCUACCCUUAUACGCUGAAGAGCCCUGGAAGCUUUGCUAGUUGUGCACUCCUUACCAACCACCCUUCUGGUAUCCC